rnacentral:rRNA from 1 species
GGAGUCUAGCAUGUGCGCGAGUCAUUGGGACCGCUAGUAAGCCUAAAGGCGUAAUGAAAGUGAAGGUCCGCCUAGCGCGGACCGAGGGAGGAUGGGCGGUCCCGAGGGGCCGCUCCGCACUCCCGGGGCGUCUCGUUCUCAUCGCGAGAUGAGGCGCACCCAGAGCGUACACGCUGGGACCCGAAAGAUGGUGAACUAUGCCUGGUCAGGACGAAGUCAGGGGAAACCCUGAUGGAGGUCCGUAGCGAUUCUGACGUGCAAAUCGAUCGUCUGAACUGGGUAUAGGGGCGAAAGACUAAUCGAACCAUCUAGUAGCUGGUUCCNUCCGA